UACGUAUGGAGCAAGCGUUAUCCGGAUUUACUGGGUGUAAAGGGAGCGCAGGCGGUCUGGCAAGUCUGAUGUGAAAGGCCGGGGCUCAACUCCGGGACUGCAUUGGAAACUGUCAGACUGGAGUGUCGGAGAGGUAAGCGGAAUUCCUAGUGUAGCGGUGAAAUGCGUAGAUAUUAGGAGGAACACCAGUGGCGAAGGCGGCUUACUGGACGAUGACUGUCGCUGAGGCUCGAAAGCGUGGGGAGCAAACAGG
rnacentral:rRNA from 1 species